rnacentral:rRNA from 1 species
AUGGUUGUAGUCAGCUCGUGUCGUGAGAUGUUGGGUUAAGUCCCGCAACGAGCGCAACCCUUGGUUCUAGUUGCCAGCAUUCAGUUGGGCACUCUAGAGCGACUGCCGGCGACAAGUCGGAGGAAGGUGGGGAUGACGUCAAAUCAUCAUGCCCCUUAUGACCUGGGCUACACACGUGCUACAAUGGAUGGUACAAAGGGCAGCGAAGCGGCGACGCAUGAGCGAAUCCCAGAAAACCAUUCUCAGUUCGGAUUGCAGGCUGCAACUCGCCUGCAUGAAGCCGGAAUCGCUAGUAAUCGCGGAUCAGCAUGCCGCGGUGAAUACGUUCCCGGGCCUUGUACACACCGCCCGUCACACCACGAGAGUUUGUAACACCCGAAGUCGGUGAGGUAACCGCAAGGAGCCAGCCGCCGAAGGUGGGACAGAUGAUUGGGGUGAAGGCGUAACAAGGUAGAGCUCUCAGUCAGUCAA